AUUGAACGCUGGCGGCAGGCCUAACACAUGCAAGUCGAACGGUAACAGGAAGAAGCUUGCUUCUUUGCUGACGAGUGGCGGACGGGUGAGUAAUGUCUGGGAAACUGCCUGAUGGAGGGGGAUAACUACUGGAAACGGUAGCUAAUACCGCAUAACGUCGCACGACCAAAGAGGGGGACCUUCUGGCCUCUUGCCAUCGGAUGUGCCCAGAUGGGAUUAGCUAGUAGGUGGGGUAACGGCUCACCUAGGCGACGAUCCCUAGCUGGUCUGAGAGGAUGACCAGCCACACUGGAACUGAGACACGGUCCAGACUCCUACGGGAGGCAGCAGUGGGGAAUAUUGCACAAUGGGCGCAAGCCUGAUGCAGCAAUGCCGAGUGUAUGAAGAAGGCCUUCGGGUUGUAAAGUACUUUCAGCGGGGAGGAAGGGAGUAAAGUUAAUACCUUUGCUAAUUGACGUUACCCGCAGAAGAAGCACCGGCUAACUCCGUG
rnacentral:rRNA from 1 species